rnacentral:rRNA from 1 species
UACGUAGGUGGCAAGCGUUGUCCGGAUUUACUGGGCGUAAAGAGCGCGCAGGCGGUCGUUCAAGUCGCGUGUGAAAGCCCCCGGCUCAACUGGGGAGGGUCACGCGAUACUGAUCGACUCGAAGGGCAGGAGAGGGUAGUGGAAUUCCCGGUGUAGUGGUGAAAUGCGUAGAUAUCGGGAGGAACACCAGUGGCGAAGGCGACUACCUGGCCUGUUUCUGACGCUGAGGCGCGAAAGCUAGGGGAGCAA